CGUAGGUGGCAAGCGUUGUCCGGAUUUAUUGGGUUUAAAGGGUGCGUAGGCGGCUUUGUAAGUCAGUGGUGAAAUAUGGCAGCUCAACUGUCAGGGUGCCAUUGAUACUGCGGAGCUUGAGUACAGAUGAGGUAGGCGGAAUUGACGGUGUAGCGGUGAAAUGCUUAGAUAUCGUCAAGAACACCGAUAGCGAAGGCAGCUUACUGGGCUGUAACUGACGCUGAGGCACGAAAGUGUGGGGAUCAAACAGGAUUAGAUACCCUGGUAGUCCACACUGUAAACGUUGAUGACUCGCUGUCGGCGAUACACGGCCAGCGGCAGAGAGAAAUCGUUAAGUCAUCCACCUGGGGAGUACGCCGGCAACGGUG
rnacentral:rRNA from 1 species